ACACGUAGGGACCAAGCGUUGUCCGGAUUUAUUGGGCGUAAAGAGCUCGUAGGCGGUUUCGUAAGUCGGAUGUGAAAACUCAGGGCUCAACCCUGAGACGCCAUCUGAUACUGCGAUGACUAGAGUCCGGUAGGGGAGCAUGGAAUUCCUGGUGUAGCGGUGGAAUGCGCAGAUAUCAGGAGGAACACCAGUGGCGAAGGCGGUGCUCUGGGCCGGUACUGACGCUGAGGAGCGAAAGCAUGGGGAGCAAACAGUAUUAGAAACCCCGGUAGUCC
rnacentral:rRNA from 1 species